rnacentral:lncRNA from 1 species
CAACAUCUAAAUAGCCUAUGUAUAAAAAUCUAUAUAUUUUUGAAAAUAGAUUAACUAUACAUCAACUUAGUCCCAAACCUCUUGCUUUCUUCCAAAUCAAACAAGAGCUCUUACUUUAUUGCUGAUUCUCAAGACUUACUAAUGCCUUGUUAAUAGAAUUUUAACAACAUAUAAAUUUUUAUGCAUAGCUCUUUAGAUGUCACAAAUCAUAUCUAUAUCUAUCAAAUUAGAUCUCUCAUUUUAAAACUCUGAAAAGUUUUAAAUAAAAUAAUAUUAAUAUCAAAUCUAGGUAAAAUCAAAAAUCAAAUCUAAAUAAUAUAUUUUACUAGACUUCCUUUCAUGUUAGAUUUGCUAAAAAUAAAAUAUGACCUAACUCUAAACCAACAAAACUCAAAUAAAAUCCUUAAUUAAGUCAUAAAGGCUUUCAUCUAAUUUUUCCAACCUACUACACAAUUAUUUUAGAGCAAUGCUACCAAUUUACCCUAAAAUGGGUGUAUAUCAUAUACCCUACUCAUCCUAGGAUAGAAGUGUUGCCGAUAAUCAAUGUGUUACAUCAAUAUGACUAGUGGGGACACCCACACCCACACGACGGGUGAGGUGUAUGAUGUACUCACAAAAAGGAGUUAGUUUACUAUGUAACACUUACACCACAUCAUCUAUAUCCAGCCAACCAUAUCUCUCUUUUUGAGAGAAAAAUACAAAAAAAAAAUAUUUUUUUAAAAAAAAUCAUGAUGGGAUAGGUGAACCCAUCAUAUGUUAAACUGUUGCAUAUAUAACUGUUGCAUAUAUGCUACACCUGCAACUCACGAGCUAAAAAAAAUCAUGAUGGGAUAGGUGAACCCAUCAUAUGUUAAACUGUUGCAUAUAUAACUGUUGCAUAUAUGCUACACCUGCAACUCACGAGCUAAAAAAAAUCAUGAUGGGAUAGGUGAACCCCAGGGGAGCUUUUUUGAUUGGUUGGGGAUACCACAUCAGCAAUAUAACUGUUGCAUUCUAGACUUUUUCCCCAAAAGGGAUGUUGUACACUAAGCAUUUUUCAUUAUUUUACCCUACUAUGGGACUCAACUUGAACACCUACUAAACAAUUCAAGAAAGAGCACUAAACAAUUACUCCAAACCAUUUAUACCGUUGGUUUUCAGGUCCUAUUGACGAGGACCAAAUGAUUUGAAGCACCUAUUCAUUGCACUAUUCUCAUUAAAAAAAACUUGUUUUCCCUUUCCUUAGUCACAAUUGAGUAAAGCUAUAAUAUUUCUAAACAACAACCUUGUUAUGCUAAGGACGGACUAAAAGGUAGCUACUAACAAUGACCUCUUCAUCAAUCCAACUCACGAGAUAAGAGAAGACAAAAAAGGAAAGAUGAGCUAAAAAGGAUACAAUAGAAAGGGAAAAAAAGAUAAUUUACAAGUGUCGUGAAUAAGGACACUGACAUAUGGCAAUAUGAUGAUUCCCCUCUUCAUGUAAGUAAUAUACUACAUAUAUGCACAAGUGAAAAUGCUACACCUGCGACCUAUUAGGUACACAUUAAAGACAUAGGUGCUUAGAGAUGGGUGGAAGCGCGGUGUAUAACCCACUAUAACUAGCGAAUCGGCCCACUCAUGAAUCUGAUAGGUCUAUCUCUUCAACAUGCAUGUAACAGGAUGUAAGAUAACAUUAUUCUCGCAAGGAUAAUGCUAUACCCACAACUCUCUACAUUCAUGCACUAGUAGGGCCUAUCCAGUUCAUGGUUAGAACCAAUUGAUAGAUCAUGGCAGGCGCCACAAUUCCACACACUAUUGUCUCGAAAGCAAUGCUAUCCAUACACCUCAAAGUGGGUGUAAAUCAUACAUCCCAUCCAUUCUAAGGAAUCACUAGUCACAUCAAUAGGACUAGUAGGAAAACCCCACCCAUAGAAUGGGUGGAGUGUAUGAUUUACGCACUAAAAGAAGUGUAUAGGUAGCAGUUUCCUCGUCUCUAACUAUUACAGCACUUAAAUCUUUUAACUGCAAAUAGAGAAUUGCAACGAUAUCAUUUCCAUAUGCAAUUCAUAAAAGGAGGACACAAUCACAGUCCUAUGUUGUCUUCAUCUUUUAUUUAUUUAUUUAUCUUCAAUGCUAUUCUUUUCCUUUCUUAUUGUCACUCGUCAUCUUGCUCUCUCAUUUUCCUAUUGUUCUCUCUUCUUAAGUAGGUUCAAUGACUAACGAUAAAAGGUCAAUACAAAGCACGAACCCUCCUAUCAAAGGAAGCCACAAGAUUUUUUUUUUACUUAAUUAAAAAGAUUUAAGAUUUAGCCUCAUGAGAUGAAAGGUCAAUCUCAAGCUCCUAUCUCUAAGUGGGGUAGGAAAACAACACAAGUAUCAACAAUAACUAAAAAUUCAAUAGUUAUGCAACAUUUAAAUUAAAGGCAAAAAGGCCAAUUUUAUGAUAAUUGUAUGUACACAACACUAGGUGUGCAGAAUAAUCUCUAGCAAUAGGAGCCACCAACAGCUCAAAGGGUAGUCGAACACUCCACUCUAAGCAGCGAGUGUCAUUAAGAAAGCUAAAAAAUUAUACCACCUAUCACCAAGAAUCCACUUAUGAACAAAGUCCAUCACAAUCUUAUAAUACAAAGCAUAAAUCCUCAAACAAUUGCAUCUAAAUUACAACUUAAGGACACAUAAUGCCAACAUAUAAAAUAGUUUGAUAAUUUUUUUUACUAGAAAAGAGACUCGAACCCUAAUCCAAUUAGAAACCAUAUCUAUACUAGUGGUUUCAUUAAAACUAGUAUUCUUAUGGAACAUGAUACUGAACAAACAAUUGCAAUUCCAACCAAACCAUAGAAAUCAGUGUCUUUAAGAACCCAAAGCAACAAUUUCAUUCGUAUAACACAAUCCAAAAAAUGAUCCAUAUCAACAAAAGACAAUAAUUUGAUCACCGUCGGCAAAAGAGAUGAUACCAUAAGAAAGUCAAAUAAUCUAAGAUGUUUUCUUACUCUAGCUAUGUACAAGGAAAAAUUCAUGCCACAAAUUAGAUAAUAUUGCUUGACUACUACGUAUAGAUCUGUAGUAAGACGCCACCUUUCUCAUUCAAACUAAAAGGCUAACAUUGAUUAAGACCUCUAAAAGAGCAUACCAAAGCUUGUGAGAUUUCAACUAUCAACCUAGGUGAGUAGAUAUUACAACCACUGAAUCAGUAACUAAGGUGCAAAGCAUACACAUUUCUGAACCAGAUUGUAAAGCCUAAGCUAAAGCAACUUUGAACCAACUAAGUAUAUAGACACUAAUUUGUAGUUAGGGAACAUUCUUUAUUCCAAAAAAGUAAAACAAUGACAAUGUCCUUAUCAAUUAACAUAGUGAUAAGAACACUUCCCUUCUUAUUUGGGCAAAUUAAAUCAUUUUGCUACCCAAUUAUGGUGUUGCACCCUUUGUGGCAUUGUUGGGCCUAGUAACUAAACAAAAAAAGCUCUAGCAUCAACUUGAAAAGCAAAAAGCUUAUGCUUCCUACCACUUCUCAAUUUAUUGUCUAUCCAUGCAGAUUGGUUUAAUGACCAUGCAACAAGCUAGUUCUACUACUAUUUCUUUGGGAUUUCAUCAGGAAAAAUCAGGAAAACACCAAGCUUACAACAUUCUACAUGCUUGUCGAAGGAUUCAAUGCUUGGACAGUUAGAAAUAGCAAUUGGGUGCCAGGGAGGGUGUCCACAAGGACCCAAAAACUGCACCCACUUAUGGAUUUGAUCAAUUUAUUCCUUCCACACAAACAUAGUAGGUUGUAAACAUAAAAUCUCAAAAAAGAAAGCUCCAAACAUCAAUAAAUGUUUCGUAGUGCCUCAAUAAAUACCAAAUGCUAUCACUUUUUACAGCUGCACCAUGAACCCACAUUGCCACAAAGGGCGCAACACCACAACUAGAAAACUUGAAAAUUGAAAAUUCAACCCACAAACCUCACAUGAGAAUAGAAGUGCACUUACCAUUAUGCUAACAAGCAACAAAAAAUCUAUAUACAAGCUCACUAGUUCUUAGGCUGUAAGUCAUACUAUCAUACCACUCCUAAUAUGUCAUAAUAAUAUCACAUUUCUUCUAUCUAGUAGGCCUAUUUAGAGCAUUUCACAAGAGUACUAAAGUAGCUUUUUGUACUCUGUAAACAAAAUUUCUUAAAAGCUGCCAAAGUUUGCUGCGAAAACAAAAUGCAGUACUUUGCUGCGAAAACAAAAUGCAGUACUUUGCCAACGCAUUCUAGUAAAGUAGGAAGAUUAACUUUCCACACGCGAAAUAUCUACUUGAAGUAGCGAGAACUAGUCUAAUAAUCACAAACAUGGGACGAAAUACAAGUUAAUUAAAGUGUCCGAGCAUCUGAAUGCAAUAAGCCAUACUAUUUAUGGAUAGCAAAUGCCAGAAUCUCAGCCCGGUCUCAUUCUAGGCAACGUACAGCGCUGAAGGCACUAUGGAAAGAAGCGCCUCAGAGACUCUAAUUUAUUGCCUCUUUUUUCCAACCACAAUACCAAAUCCAAAGAAAAAGAUUUCAAAAAUCAAGAAGAAAAAGACUCAUUUUAAAAUGAUAACAACAUUUGAUCAAAAAGGCACAGAAUAAAGGAUUUCAAAUAACAAGAAAUGAGACUCAUUUUGAAAAGAUAUCAACAUUAUUUGCUUCAGGUUUUUGAUUUUAUAUUUAAAUGAAACUAUGAAAAGAAGCACCUUAAAGACUUAUUAGUUGCCGAACUUCUCUACCUAUGGUAUCAAAUCCAAAGAACACACCUUGGAAUCGAAAGGGGCAAAACGAAAGGAAAAGAUUCCAAGAAUCAAGUAGUGAGACUCAGAUAUAGAAAGAUAUCAACAUUGUUCUCUUGAUUCGCUUCAGCGCUUGAUGGUAUCUCUAUAUGCUCGUCACAGUCGCAAGAUUUGAUCCAAAAAGUAAAAGAAUAAUCAAACAAAAAGGGCAAAAAAAAGAGAGAUAGAUGCAAAGAGAUCAUCAAAAAGCGAGGAGCUUAGGUAGCAAAAGAUACGAAAUAAUGCAUC